rnacentral:ncRNA from 1 species
CCGGCUGUUCCAUCAGUCGUUUCCUACCUGGACAUGCGGAGCCGGUGACAGCUCGGUGUGGAGCUCUGGGGACAAUGUAACCACACCGAUAUAUUUCGGUACGCGGAACCGUGGGGGAAAGCGGAUCUGCCAGCACAAGGGCGGUGGGGGAC